UGCGCAGGCGGGCUUGUAAGUCAGUGGUGAAAUACUGCCGCUUAACGGUAGAACUGCCAUUGAUACUGCAAGUCUUGAAUAUGGUUGAGGUAGGCGGAAUGUGUCGUGUAGCGGUGAAAUGCAUAGAUAUGACACAGAACGCCGAUUGCGAAGGCAGCUUACUAAGCCAUUAUUGACGCCGAGGCACGAAAGCGUGGGGAGCGAACAGGAUUAGAUACCCUGGUAGUCC
rnacentral:rRNA from 1 species